AAGGAUAGUUGUAGGCAAGGGA
rnacentral:miRNA from 1 species